GCAUUGAUGGUUUUAGUGGUAUAAUUUACCGCAUGCCACGCGGUAGACCCGGGUUCGAUUCCCGGUCAAUGCA